rnacentral:rRNA from 1 species
AUUGAACGCUGGCGGCAAGCCUAACACAUGCAAGUCGGACGAGCGGCGGACGGGUGAGUAAUGUCUGGGAACCUGCCUGAUGGAGGGGGAUAACUACUGGAAACGGUAGCUAAUACCGCAUACCAUCAGAUGUGCCCAGAUGGGAUUAGCUAGUAGGUGAGGUAACGGCUCACCUAGGCGACGAUCCCUAGAUGGUCUGAGAGGAUGACCAGCCAGUGUGGGACUGGGACACGGUCCAGACUCCGACGGGAGGGAGCAGUGGGGAAUAUUGCACAAGGGGCGCAAGCCUGAUGCAGCCAGGCCGAGUGUAUGAAGAAGGCCUUCGGGUUUUAAAGCACUUUCAGCGAGGAGGCGUUACUCGCAGAAGAAGCACCGGCUAACUCCGUGCCAGCAGCCGCGGUAAUUC